rnacentral:pre_miRNA from 1 species
CCCACACCCAUGUCUAUAGGAUCCCAAAGGAUCACCAUUAAAUUUGGUACAAAUAUUUAGAAAAGUUAUUACAUAGGUGUGAGAUUUGACUUUUUUAAAGAUCUGUAUCAAAUUUAAUGGUGAUCCUUGGAGUCCUACACACAUGGGUGUGGG